UACGCAAGGGGCUAGCGUUGUUCGGAGUUACUGGGCGUAAAGCGCGCGCAGGCGGCUGAUCAAGUGAGGCGUGAAAGGCCUGGGCUCAACCUGGGAAUGGCGCAUCAGACUGGUUGGCUGGAGGCCGGGAGAGGGUGGUGGAAUUCCCAGUGUAGAGGUGAAAUUCGUAGAUAUUGGGAGGAACACCGGUGGCGAAGGCGGCCACCUGGCCCGGUACUGACGAUAUAGCGCGAAAGCGUGGGGAGCAAACAGG
rnacentral:rRNA from 1 species